rnacentral:rRNA from 1 species
AACGAACGCUGGCGGCAUGCCUAACACAUGCAAGUCGAACGAGACCUUCGGGUCUAGUGGCGCACGGGUGCGUAACGCGUGGGAACCUGCCCUUAGGUUCGGAAUAACUCCCCGAAAGGGGUGCUAAUACCGGAUAAUGUCUUCGGACCAAAGAUUUAUCGCCUUUGGAUGGGCCCGCGUUGGAUUAGCUAGUUGGUAGGGUAAAAGCCUACCAAGGCGACGAUCCAUAGCUGGUCUGAGAGGAUGAUCAGCCACACUGGGACUGAGACACGGCCCAGACUACUACGGGAGGCAGCAGUGGGGAAUAUUGGACAAUGGGCGAAAGCCUGAACCAGCAAUGCCGCGUGAGUGAUGAAGGCCUUAGGGUUGUAAAGCUCUUUUACCCGGGAUGAUAAUGACAGUACCGAGAGAAUAAGCUCCGGCUAACUCCGUG